UGUAAAUAUCCGUGCUUAAUUUAGCCUUCUUUGGGGAGAGGAAGGGGAAAGGAAUAAAGUAAAAAAAUAUACAGCAGAGAAAAAAAGAAAACCUACAAGGAAGCAAAGAUGGACAGCUCUGAACAAUGUGUAGUAUUUAUUAUAUAUGCUUUCUUGAAAUGGAAAUUUAUUGCUUUACAUCUUAAAUCCUCUCAUUUUCUUCUGUGUACAAGGUGAUUUUUUUCUAUUUAAGUUUUUAAUAAAUACAUUUAAGAAAAUAUAUCAACCAUCGAGUAUGGAUUAGAAAUCCAAGAAGCUGGUUUCAGGGAGAUCAAGGAGGCCAUUCCAAUAGUCCAAUCAAGAAGUAAUGAGGAACUAAUUAGGGUGGCAUCUAUGUGAAUGGGGAGAAGGAAAUAAAUCCUUGAGUUAUGGAGAGAGAAGGAAAUAAGUCCUUGAGAUAUGGAGAAAUAAAUGGCAUUACUUCAAAACUUAUUAUAUGGAAUAAGUGAGAAUGUGGAGUCAAAGAUGACACUGAUAUGAUUCUGGGUAACUUUUCAGAUUGGAAAGCUCUCAACAGAAACAGGGAAAUUUUAAAAAGAUAGUUUGGGGAGGAAAUUUAAUAAUUUCCGUUUGGGGAAUGCUGUGUUUGACAUGUUUUUUAAAACAUCCAACAAGCAAAUGGUUAAAUAGAACUAAAGCUCAGGGAAAAGGUUGUGCUGAAUAGAGAGAUGUGUGAAUCAUUUGCAUAGAGAUUUUAACUGAACCCAGAGGAACUGCUAAGUCACCAAGUGAAAGAAUACAGAAAGAAAUGAAAAGGCCCAGCAUAACAUGGGCUCAAAUCCAGUCAAAGAAAUGAAGAAGGAAUGGUUAACUUAAUAGGAAGAGAACCAAGAGAAGUCAGCCAGUCAAUAAGCAUUUAUUAAGCAGCUACUCUGGGUUUUCAGAGAAAGGCAAAAGAAAUUCCCUGUUCUCAGUCUAAUGGAGGUGAUAACAUGGAAAUAAUUGUGUACUAUUUACAGGAUAAAUUGGAAGUGAUUAACAGCCAGGAGGCACUAGAAUUAAAGGGAAUUGGGAAAAGCUUCUUUUAGGAGACUGGAUUUUAGCUGGGACUUGAAAGAAGCAACAGAAGCCAAGAUUCAGAGAUGAAGACGGAGAGCAUUUUGGGUAUGAAGGGCAGCCAGUCAAAAUGUCUGGAGUUUGAAGAUGGAAGAGGGAGCACUCAGGAGGAGAAGACAGUUAAUUGUUUCAAAUGCUAUAGGGAGACAGGGAAGGAUGAGUAAAAGUCACAGACUUGGUAAUUAUGAGAUCACUUUGAAAAAAGCGGUUUUAAUUGAGUGAUGAAGUUGGCUAGAAGUUAGAAUAGAUGAGAAAAGAAAGUAAUGAAUAUAGAUAGAUUUUUCAAAUAUUUUGGCUAAGAAAUAAAAAGAUGGACCAUAGCUCUCAGGGAUAAUACAAUAUAGUGAGGGUUUUCUUUUUUUAAAAUUUAAAAGAUUACGGGCACAUCUGUGGUGAGCAGCAAGGAAGAAGCUAAUUUUUGUUUUUGUUCAGUUGUCUGAUUUUUCGUGACCCAUUUGGAUUUUUCUUGGCAAAGAUAUUGUCAUUUCCUUCUUCAGCUCAUUUUACAAAUUUUGAGGGAAAUUAGGUAGUCAAGUGAUUUGCCCAGGUUUUUGAAUUAGGUUCUUCCUGACUUCAAGUGGGGUGCUCUAUCUACCUAGCUGCCCAGAGUUGCUAAAGAGAUAUGGAAGAUUAAAGAGAGAUAAUAGUGGGGGAAAUGUGCCAUAGAAGAUAGGGAGAUAAUGGGAUAAAGAACUAUGUAUUACCCAAAGAUUAGAGUUGGCAAGGACUUUUCCAAUAGGACCGGAAGUGAAGAAAGAAUGGGAGAUGUCAAGGGAUUAUAAAAUAAGAAUGAUAGAAGAUAGUCACAUUGUAUGGCCUUGUUGGGUUUCUUUUUUCUUUGUAGCUAUAUACAGUAAAUUCCUCAGCUGAGGAGUUGGGAGAAGGAGAAUUCUAUAGUAUUCUAGAGGAGAGGAGGUUUGGAGUGAAUAGCCUUAUGCCACAGUUCUCUUUAACUGUCCUGACUCAGUUUCCCUGCACUAAUUUCCCUUGUCUCAGUUUCUUUAACUGUUCUGUGUCAAUCCUCUAAGCUGUAAAACUCCCCCUCUGGUCUGACUGAGGACCAUUUGCCCUAAGGUUAUAAAUUGUUAGCAAGAUAAACAAGAGAGUAGACCUCUUGACUCUUUUCUGUCCUCAAGAAUUUACAAUAUCCCUCUGAAAUAUUCCAAGAUACCUCACUGAUAUCUUUAUUUCUGUGUAUUCAGAACAUCCUGUCUCUGGGUUUUUAGGAUUUAUGGCCUCCCCCAUCCUGACAGAAGUUUUCCCGCGCUUCUUACCCCUUCCUUUGUUUAGAGAAAAGGUAUUUAAGAAGUUGGGGUUCCUCCAUUCAUUGCUGGAGGCUGGAGACCCUGGACACUGGAUUCUUUGGGAUGACAGUCUCCUCCAGCCCUGGGACCAACAUGGAUUUCUUGGUCCCAGUAUAUCUUUAUCUCUGUCUGACUGGAUCAUUUGAGAGGAGAGUCCUGUCCAGUCAAUCUUACUCUCCCAUUGAUAAAAUAUUAAAACCUCUCUAAUCUCUCUCCUGCCUCAGUUUCUCCAGCAUUACAAUAGGUGGGGAAUUAGAGGAGUAAAACGAUUGCCUUACUGCAGUGAGGAUUUAGUUGAGAUGAGUUAACAAAAUUUGUGGUGGAUCCAAUCAUCCUAGUUGCAUUACUUCUUCUAACUUCAUUUUAGAGUCCGUAUAUGAACAAAGGAGAAAGAUAAGUGAUAUUACUGAAAAGUUGGAGUUUGGCAGGAAUAUCUCCAGGACAGGGAAGUCCAAAGUAGAAAAUAAUGUAAAGUUUAGUGAGUUAAAUAAGGGAUAAAUAUUGGGGAGGAAGAGGAGUAUAUUCUGAGUUAGAAGAGAUGCCAUGCUUUGGGAUAAGUGUAGGAGGAAAAAGGGUUACUAUCAGAGGGAUUUCAGGUCUUGAUCAUGGAAGUGAAACAUGCAAGUGAUAGCAAGAUCAGGGGUGUGGCCUUCAUGGAGUUGAGAAGACUGAAAGGCUGGGAGUUUGGUUGUGAAGUAACAUCACAAUAUAUUUGUUACAACUCCCAGGAAUAAAGGCAGAAGUUGGGAUGUAAAGAAAGACUGUGACACAGUCACUGAACUCACCGAGAAAUAAGGGCAAAUGGAGCAGAUAGCUAACAGCUACCAGAAUUUCAAAAAUGCUGGUGAAAAAGUUCGCUGAAGUGAAUCUCAAAUGGACAGAAGCUGCUGAGUGAGAGAAGAAUCGUCUAGAAUGACUCUUAAAUUGCAAACCAGGGAGAGGGGAGGGUGGUCCUAAUCGAGCUCCUGUCACAAACAAGGAAGUGGAGGGGAGGGGUUUGGGGGAGAUGCUGAAUUAGAGGUGUCUCUUGGGCAUUCAGUUGGAAAGAGCCACUAGACAGUUGGCGAUGCGUGACUGGGGCUCGGAGGCUGGAUAUCGCUCACAGAUCAUAAUGCUCCUCCCGCAAUUACUCAGGUGGAGGAAGGCACCGGCCGGAUACACAGGAAUUUUACAUUAAGGAGGCUGAGAAUAAGCGCGCCGAGUGGGGAGGAGACGGUUUCUUCAGGAAGCCCAGCACUCCGUUGGGACCUUCGGGAGAGAAAAGUACGGAAACCCAAGUUCCGCGGCGCAAAAGAACGCCUUCCCAUUCGGAGGCUCAAGUGUGGCUUCCGGAAGCGCCGGCACGCAGCUACGAGAGAAUCUACCUCAUUUUCGGCUCUGGGGCCGCCCCAGGAUCCGGAAGACUGGACAAAAGAAAGCGGAAAUCCGGUGGCGCGCAGUGCAGGCCGGUAUCUGUAGGCAGGUGAAGAAAGACCCGGGAAUUGUUCAACUUCCGGUUAAGUGCCGCAAUCCCUGGGGGCUUGUGGUAAAAAGAGAAAAAUGGUUGUCUCCUGGGCGGUGGGGUCUAGCUUCUCGUGUUUCUCUUUGCUUUCGGGAGUCUCUCGCAAUAAACAUCGCAAAGUACAAUGGCCUAAAAAAAAAGCAAAAAACUUCCCCUUCUACUCCCGUUUGUCUUCACCACCAUCUGUAAUCCAUGUCGGUCCCUUUCAUUUAAAUCAGAUUCCCAUGAUGCAUUGCGCCCUGGGUCCUUGUGAUUGGUCCGGAGACAUUCUACAUCCGUUCUACAUUCAAAUCGUGGCGCGGGAAUGUUUAUUCUGCUUCUGAGAUGAAGCAGCUGUCUGGAGUGGCGUUAGCUAGCAGCUGCACUGAGUUGAAGGACCUGAAUGAGGUGAGAGCUCCGUUAGGGUCUUGGGCGGGUGGGGCUCUUCUCGGCGUCGCCGGUCAUGAGGUGGUGCUGUAGGAGGUGUUGGGCGCUCCCGGUAGCUCCGCUUCCUGGACUGGCCCGGGCCGAGCGGAAGAGGCGGACGCACCUCGAGCACUCGUCCCUGCCCUGCCCUUGCUAUUUCUCAGUCUGGUUUUAGGUUUCCCGUUAUGACUCCAGCCGAGUCCCGUUGGCAAGAAGGAGGAUGAGAAAGGAAAAAACAUCCAGGUGGUGGUGAGAAGCAGCAUUGCCCAUUAGGCUGUCACCCAACGUUGUUGUUCCUGUUGUUUGUCCUUUGUUCUGGGUCCAGUGACCAGAUAGAGAUCAGGACGAUUGGAGAUGGCUGAGUGCAGUGGGAAAACUGGGGCUUUUUAAGAUUGAUAUUGCAGGAAGUGAAAAUAUUGGUCAUUCUGGGGCAGUUGACAGAAGAGCUUAGGAAGCUGGCAAUAUUAACCAAUCUCUUUUAACCCUUGGAAGGGUUAUUACUGCCCUUGUUGAAAGAGCGCCACACAUUCCUUACUGAGAAUCCAAACUAACUAGGAUCCUUCAAGAUUCUCUUGGGAAUUGUACAAAAACAUCUAUAAUUGCCACAGUUUCCCCUGCAUCAGUCAAUAUAGAGGAAACAUUGAGUACUUUGGAAUAUGCUCAUAAAGCAAAAAAUAUAAUCAAUAAGCCUGAAGUUAACCAGAAGCUCACCAAAAGAGCUCUUAUUAAGGAGUGUACAAAAAAUAGAGGUUGAAACAAGAUUUAGCUGCGGCCUGAGAGAAAAAUGGAGUCUACAUUUCUGAUGAAAACUGUUGUAAAGCAAAGGUUGUGUUAUAUCCAAAUUGGAGAUCAUGGAAAAAGUCAAUGGACCAAAGGCAGUACAAGACAUCCAGCUGACCUCCUUUCAUGAUGAAAUAACUAAUGACAAGGAGAGGCUGGUGCAACAGAGUGAAGAACUUCACGAUAUCAUGAAACAUGAUUGGAAUAAACUUAAUUGCUUCUUGCAGCAGGACCUGAAACUGGAUAUUCCAAAGGUAGUUUAGAAGGGAAGGUUCAACUCCACAGAGGAAAAUCUACUCAUACCCAUCUACACUGCUGGGAACUGAACCUUGGGAGCAACUCCUCAACCAGCUGAGAGAGAGAGCCCAAGCUCUUAACAACAGUAAUUGUUAAAGCAGAAGACCUGAGUCAGCUAAAAUGAAGUGUUGGGAUCUCCGGGUUUCUGGCUCCUCCUUCACCAGGCUCCUUUUUAAUUGUGAUACAGACAGCUCCUUUGUGAGACCAUGACUUAGAGGAAGAGAAACCUGCUCUGGAGUUCACCAAUGAAAACAUCAUAAAUGAAGAAUCAACAGAGGACACAAGUGUAUAUGAUCCUAUAAAUGGCGGUAUUCCUAUUUUCCAGCAUCUUUAUGUUGGAGAUUCUUCAUUGCUGAUGGUGAGUUUGUGUUGCUCUGUCCAUGUCCUUGUUCCUUUGAAUUGCCUUUCUCUUCCCAUAAUCAAGCGUAACCUUUUGUGAGGCAGCUGAUUGACGUCAAAGGUGCCAAUUAAAGCUAUAAUUUUUCUAUAUUCAGUUUAAAAAUUUACUAACCUACUGUAUAUAACAUAUUGUACAAAAAUUUACAUACUUACUGUAGGCAGAGAACUGAGAUACUAGCCAGAAUGUACCCUCUUAAGUUUAUAACCUAGUGGUGGUGGGAAUGAAUGAGCCAUAAAACAGCCAUAAAACUUGAUAAAAGCAUUAGAAAGUGGUUUAAAGGAAGGGUAGGAAUUCAGCAGGCAACUGGAUGAAGAAUGCAUUGAAAAAUGGAAUGAAGCCAGAUUAUGGAGGAUCUUGAAUAAUAAAUAGGUUUAGGAGUUUGAACUUUAUUCAGUAUGAAAAUCAAGCAAAUAACUAUGAGAUACUAGUGUAUCUGGAGACCAAGUCCUCUUCACAAAGUAUCAUGUUCCAACCCAAGCAUGGAUCCUUUUCCUUUUUAAAAAUUUCUUUUGGGCUUCAUGCCUAGUAGUGGUAUUGUUAGAUUAACGGAUAUGCAUGAUUUUAUAAUCCUGUGGGCAUAGUUCAUAUUUUUGAUCAUUUAUUAAUUGGAGAAUGGCUUUUUGAAAUAAAUCUGACUCAGUUCCCUAUACAUAUGAGAAAUGAGGCCUUCUUUGGAGAAACUGGUUUCAAAAUUUUUUUCCCAAUUACUAUUGUAAACUGUAUUUCCCUCCUUCCCUCUCUCCCCCCCGAAAAAAUCAUGGCAUAUUUUCUUUCAAUUAAGGCACUAACACAAAAUGUGAUCUUUUAUUUUCUCUAUUUGGGGCAGAGCACAGUGAUUAUUUUUCACUUUUCAUACCAUCUGGUUAGUGGAAUAUACAUGAAAAAACAAAUAUUCCUGAAAGGAAUAUUUAGCAAAGAUACUCAUUUUAAACUCUGAGUGACACAGUUGCAGACUUUUAUGACUGAGCAAAAUUUUUCAUUGUCAAACUAGAAGUGAACUGCUAAAAAUUCGAAAUAAAAGAAUUUUAUGGGUAAUUGAAUUAAAUCUAAGACAAUGGACAAAUGAUUGGAACAGAUUUUCCUUAACUUCUGUACUGAUUUUUUCUAAUUCUGCUUAAGGUCUUUCCUAAAAUCUUUAGUAACAUGAUAGACACACUAUGAACAUAUUUCCAAGAACAGUUUCCUGCCCUGAUUCUCAAUUUUGUUGCUCUUUUCCUCAAACCAUUAAGCCCACCUCAGAAUGACACUUUCACAUAUUAAGGAAAAGACCAGGUUCUAACUUACCUGAAACUAUUAAAACUUUCUUUUGAAAGAAAGUAAAUCUUGCAGUGCUGCCUUAGUUCAUAUAUAAACUGUUUCAGUAUAAUAACUUAUGUUCAACAGCUGCGUUAGUAUGUAACAUAUUCCACGAGACUUCCCAGUCUUAGAAGAAGUUGAUUUAACUCGAAGUAUGGGUUACUAUGCAUGCUGGUUUAAUAGUUCAAAGUAAAUGUUAUAAAAGCAGCAAAAUCAGCCUACUUCUUAGCUUACUUGUCAAUAGAAAGAGUAGAAUUACAAACAGAAUUACUUUUUCCUGAGCCUAUUCCCUUUGGGUGAAGAAAUGCAUUUAAAUAACUUAAUAUAUUGAAUAACACAUUAAAUUCAGAGGCAGAAGGGAACAUCUGGAGUUCUUUACCAGUUAUGCUGUCUUUUCUCCAGAUGUGUAAAAGGUGAUAAAAAUUGAAUUUGUUUGUAAGGUACUAACCAGUUAAUUAUUUUGCAUAUGUCUAAUUUUAUUAUGCCUGUAUAUUAUGUUGUUAUUAUAAAUUUAGAUUGAAUAGAAUAAAUUCACUGUGAUUAAAA